GACAGAGGGGGCAAGCGUUGCUCGGAAUUAUUGGGCGUAAAGAGCUCGUAGGCGGUUUGUCGCGUCUGCUGUGAAAACUCGGGGCUUAACUCCGGGCCUGCAGUGGGUACGGGCAGACUAGAGUGCGGUAGGGGAGACUGGAAUUCCUGGUGUAGCGGUGAAAUGCGCAGAUAUCAGGAGGAACACCGGUGGCGAAGGCGGGUCUCUGGGCCGUAACUGACGCUGAGGAGCGAAAGCGUGGGGGGCGAACAGG
rnacentral:rRNA from 1 species